GGCAGCGACGCCGCGUCGCCCUACAACGGCCUGCAGAGCAAGUUCUUCAACACCUUCGCCGCGCCCUUCACCAAGCGGGGGCUGCUGCUCAAGGUGCUGCUGCUCGGCGGCGGCUCGCUGCUCGCCUACGUCAGCGCCACCGCCUCCCCCGACCUGCUCCCCAUCAAGAAGGGGCCCCAGCUGCCGCCCACCCCGGGACCACGCGGCAAGAUCUAAAGCUCUGCAAUCAAGGCCUUCUUCCUCCUCCCGCCUCGCCUCGUGCUUGUGUACCAUGGAUCUCGUCGAUUCCCCCCUUAUCUAUGUGCUUGCUCUGUUGAUACUUGAUCUUUGUACUUUGUAUCAGUAAUUGGAAAGAUGCUGCGUGCAUGGUGCAUGCAAUUAUUAGAUCAUGGUUUUUGUACCAUGUUUUUGCUAUACUGGCGGUUUAAAUUACUUGUCACUCUAGCCAAUACGUAUUGUCCGGCCGGCCGGCCUACUCACGGCUCUACGUGCACAGCUGCACACGUACAUACUCCCU
rnacentral:lncRNA from 1 species